UUGUCAAUACAAAAAUAAAAUUUUUUAAAAGAGAGCUUGAGUCAGGCCAUGGAAGCAGAGACAGGAGCGGGCUCUGCUCAGUGUGGUAUCUGCCAGGCAGGCUCCCUUACUCCUGCUUCUACCUUCAAGGCUCUUGUGACUUUGCUUGGGCUGGCAACGCACAGCACUGUGGCUGCUCUGAGAGUGAGGACCAGCCCAGCCUCCCCCUGCCAAGCCCACCCGGACUGUUUCAUCAUUAGCGCCCCUCCUCAUCCACAGCUCCGCUUAGGGCAGAAACAGGCAAAGGCACCUUCCCUAAAGCAAAAGAGAUUUCAGCAGACCCAAGGAUGACUCAGCUGUGGGAUCCUUUGUGGGCAACUGGAUUGUGCAGUAUUAGUGAAAAUAUGUAGAGAGAGAGAGGAGGAAGAAAGGAAGGCAAGAAGGGAGGAGAUGCACAAUCAGAUUCAUCUUCACAAGAAUUUUGUAAAGCAGGAAUUACUGUACCCAUUUUACAGAUGGAAAACCAAUCGCAUUUAAGCCACCUGUCAAGAUCGUUUCUAGUAAGUAAGAAAUAGAUCUAAGCUACUAGUCCAGAUCUGUCUGACUGUAAAGCUGCUGCUUUCUUUUCCAAGAAUAAGGUCCCUAAUCACACCACUGUAGCAGAGCAACUGUUAUUUUUUAAAAUCCCCUUCCAAUCUUCUCUUGUUCAGGUGCCGUAAAGGUAUGUAUCUUCCUUUUGUUCGCUUAAUAUUAUAUCAUAAACACUUGCAAUAUUGCUAAAUAGUCUUUAUUAUUAUAAUAAUCACUUUUACAUAAUAUUCCACCCUGUGGACAUGCGGUGACUCACUUAGUCAUCACUAAAUAUUUAGGUGGUUUCACCGUCUCAGGAUUGUAAAUCCUCCCUGCCCCCACCCUUCCUCUGUCAGGCUCCCCUGACAUGAAUCAGGGCUCCCACUUGCCCCAUGUCUGGAAGGUUAUGUAGGUCACCGGGACCUGGUUAUGCCUGCCAUAGUGCAGCAAGGCAUUCUAGAGUUUCUCAGAAGGCUGAAGCUGCUGAGAAAGUUAAGUCCUCUUCCUCUUCCUCUUCCUUCCCACUGCCAGGCUUGGCAUGGACUCCCCUGCCACUGCCUUCACCCACCCGGGCCACAAAAUUGCAGCUGGUGCAGACUGGAGAUGCCAAAGGCUGGUUGAGGUGGGUUUGGGCUCUUGCAGCUGGUGAAGGCAGCCCCAUGCCCAGACAUCUCAGGAGCCAAAGGGCACCCAGGUGACCCCAAGGACUGGUCAGCAAUGAGUCCAGCACUGGGAUGGGAGCCGGAUCCCUGAAAAGAGCCCACAGCCUUGCUUGGUCCCCAUUUCCUUGAGAAGCCCCUUCCGGAGAGUUUUCUGUGUUUUGCCCCUCAGGGAACAUGGCCACAUCCCAAACUGGCUCCCCAGCAGCUCCAGGCUGGACUGUGGAAGCAGAAACCCUCCUGGCAGGCAAGCAGACACCACAACCGCCUAAGCCGAUCGAAUGCCUGCUGCACUGCUGAAGAGGAAACAGAGUCGUGGCCUCCGGGAGGGGGCUCAAACCUGUGACUGGUGCAUGUUCGCCAUUAGACACACUGGCUGGUGACCAGCAGCCCCACCUACAGAAUUCCCUGGAAUGAGGAAUGGCAUUCCUGAGACCACUCAGCAGAGACUACCUCAAAAGGCGCUGCUCAAUGCCAGGAAAUGCAGCGAGAGAAAAUCCCCUUCCGGUGCCACCUCUGUGGCCAGCACACAGGUCCCCUGCUCAGCGGGUGUGUGUAGACGUGCCCUCAGGAAGCUCAGCCCAAGGCCCUCUGGAAGUGGCCACAGCUGGACCACACGGAACUCAUCCACUGCUUCUUUGGAGCUCCAGGAAAGCGCCAGAAGAGGGGCACUGAGGCAGAGGGAAAGCUAAGCAGCCUGUGGCUCAGGGGACUACCUUGCAACUGCUUGAAUGUAAAGCAGGCAGAGAAAUCCUCCUGGGAACCUGAGGCCAGGUGUAUGAGUGGGAUUUAAGAGAGGCCAGCGCCCCUUCCGGGGUGGCCCCAGCCCAGGAGGAGGGCGUGAGAGGCACACCUGGGAAGUGUCAGAGCCUGACAGGCGUGAGCUGGAGGCCUGGCAGGAGAGUGCUCUCACCACCUGACCAUCCUGGAAAGCUGUCAAAGUCCCAGUGCCCAUGCCACACCCCACAACAAUCCAAUCAAACUCUUUGGAGGUAGGACCCAGGCGUCUCUGAUUUUUAAAAUUUCCAGGUAAUUAAAAUAUUCAGCCAUGCUUGAGAACCAGUGCUUUAAAGAGAUAUCUGAUGCAUCCCAGGCUCAUCAAACAAAACAAGUAGGGCUCUUCCUGAGUGAUUCAUCAAGCUACCUUCUCUCUAGAGGCCCUCUUCACUACUCUAGUCUCUCCAAAUCCCUGCCAUUCCUCCACAUCCAUCUCCAUUGCCACCUCCUGAUGGGAGCCCUCCAUGGCUGCCCCAGCUGCAGUGAGUGCCUUUCUUCAAGGGCCCCUGUCACUGAGGACCUGCAUAGCCAUACAUAGCCAUCAGCUGACAGGUGUUUGCCCGUCCAUUUGAGCAAUCCAUUCCUGUGGGGGCAGGUACUAUGUUGUCCAUCAUGCUUUCUCACAACCUGCUGACCUACCACCUACCACAAUUCACUGCCCACAUUAUAUGCUCAAUUAGUGUUUUCUGGCUGACUUACAUCCUAGUGCAUUUCAACAUUUCAAGCAAUCUUGGUAAGAGAGUUGAAAGAAUGUCUGAUUCAAAUUAGUGGUUUUGUUGGUGAUCAGUGAUUGUGGUGAUAGAGAUGUAUAUGAUAGGAAUGGUAUAGGAAGAAUGGCCAAGAAAUGCCUCUCAGGCUGUCUCCCAAGAUGGUAUGUAUAACCCAUAUAGCCCAAUCCUCAGGUGGUCCAGUCCCUGCACUGAACAUCUUCAAAGAUGUGGUAGUUCCACAGGGCAGUAGGCAAUGACAGGUAUUUUCUAAUUAAAAGCACUUCAAAUAUUUA